rnacentral:piRNA from 1 species
UGGUACCUGCUUGACAUCUCACUUCGACAC